GAUGAACGCUGGCGGCGUGCCUAAUACAUGCAAGUCGAGCGAACAGACGAGGAGCUUGCUCCUCUGACGUUAGCGGCGGACGGGUGAGUAACACGUGGAUAACCUACCUAUAAGACUGGGAUAACUUCGGGAAACCGGAGCUAAUACCGGAUAAUAUAUUGAACCGCAUGGUUCAAUAGUGAAAGACGGUUUUGCUGUCACUUAUAGAUGGAUCCGCGCCGCAUUAGCUAGUUGGUAAGGUAACGGCUUACCAAGGCAACGAUGCGUAGCCGACCUGAGAGCGUGAUCGGCCACACUGGAACUGAGACACGGUCCAGACUCCUACGGGAGGAAGCAGUAGGGAAUCUUCCGCGAUGGGCGAAAGCCUGACGGAGCAACGCCGCGUGAGUGAUGAAGGUCUUCGGAUCGUAAAACUCUGUUAUUAGGGAAGAACAAAUGUGUAAGUACCUAUGCACGUCUUGACGGUACCUAAUCAGAAAGCCACGGCUAACUACGUG
rnacentral:rRNA from 1 species